AUUGAACGCUGGCGGCAUGCCUUACACAUGCAAGUCGAACGGCAGCACGGGAGCAAUCCUGGUGGCGAGUGGCGAACGGGUGAGUAAUACAUCGGAACGUGCCCAGUAGUGGGGGAUAGCCCGGCGAAAGCCGGAUUAAUACCGCAUACGACCUACGGGUGAAAGCGGGGGACCGCAAGGCCUCGCGCUAUUGGAGCGGCCGAUGUCAGAUUAGCUAGUUGGUGGGGUAAAAGCCUACCAAGGCGACGAUCUGUAGCUGGUCUGAGAGGACGACCAGCCACACUGGGACGGAGAAACGGCCCAGACUCCUACGGGAGGCAGCAGUGGGGAAUUUUGGACAAUGGGCGCAAGCCUGAUUCAGCCAUGCCGCGUGCGGGAAGAAGGCCUUCGGGUUGCAAACCGCUUUUGUCAGGGAAGAGACGCUCCGAGAUAAUACCUUGGAGUAAUGACGGUACCUGAAGAAUAAGCACCGGCUAACUACGUGCCAGCAGCCGCCGUAACAC
rnacentral:rRNA from 1 species